rnacentral:lncRNA from 1 species
AUAGGCAUUUUAUUAUUUUCCACACUAUAUAUCUAUUUUUUAUGACCGAACCAGCCAUAUAAUAAUUAAUGGACCUCUUAUUCUGAUACUAUAUAAAAUAACUAUAUGUUUAUAAAAAAUUAAACUGUUGAAAGUAUUUAGAAACUAAAUUUUAUAAUUUUUCGAUAUCAUUUACCUAUCAAACAAGUAGUCUAAAAUUCAACGGCUGAAAAUAAAAAUCUCAUGAAAAAUGAUGAUAAAAGAUUUAAAAUCAAGAUCAGAUAUACUGAUCUUACUCUAAAUAGUGAAAAGAAUUUUCUAUAAAAUUUUCAUCGCAUUUGGAUUGUUUUACACCGUUAAACUUACAAACACACUACAUCGGCCAUUAAAAUUAUCAAUUUU